CAGAAAGCAGACCUCACAGUAUCAGAAGAAACAGGAAAUAACUUCUGGUUUUCUUAUUUCUUAGGUGGAAGAGAAUCAGCAGAAAGAAAUGUCUUCUGGUAGAAGAUGAUGUAGCUGUGCUGCCCUGUUGCUGAAGUUUUGAAUUAUUCAUGUUACUGCAGUCUGGAUUUCCACUGAUAUUGCCUGGAAGACAAUACAGAGAAAUCCAAACAUCUUGAUGUGGCCUCCUGGCACAAGGGCUUUGAGGAACUUCCUCAGCCCUGGAACUGAAUUCCAAAAUGCUGUGUAUCAACCUGCUGAAGUAGCAACUGAAAGAGGUAAGAAGAGAAGGGAGGAUACCAUCCAAGUAAAAUCAUCUCGCCAUACGUAUAAAAGAGAGAAUAGGGGAUUUUUAUAGUUUCUUAUUUUAAAGCAGUAUUACAGAAUGGACUACCAGGUCUCUUGUACUGACUGGGGUAAGUCUUUGGAAGCUGGACAGAAGGUCUGUGGACUGGAGGAGCUUUGCCAUGGAGACAGCAGCUUUCCCUGCUCUGUAGGACACUGUGAUGAGUUGAUGGGUGGCAGUCUUCUGACUGACCACGAAGGCACUACUAACUGCAGUCCUGCUGUGACAGACCAGAGGCACUGUGCAUUUGAAGGAAGGACAAGCACCCGUUAUCUGUGUGGUGAGACUGAACACUGCUUGCAACAACAGUACCUGAUCUUCAAGAUCUCAGCCACAGGUCAGUGUUUUGUGGACCCACUGAAGAAUCUGUGCCUUUCAAGAAACUCCAGAAAAUUAAUUCUGACCCCCAUCCUGCUAAGCUGGGCUGAGUGUCUUCAGUCAACCAGCUUGGAUUAUAAAUGACCAGUGGAAACGAUGAAGCUCCAUUCUUGCAAGUUAUUCUCAAACUUGUUUUUGAAGGAAGAAUGGAAAUCUGCUUUUUAUUUAAAAGCCCUUCUCGACAAGGCUGCCUGUCCAGCAGGUGGGGGAAUUACAUCCUAAACCUGAAGAGAGACUGAACCAGAAAGAUGUGGGCUGUCUUGGAGAGUGGGCACUCUGCCUCUUUUGUUUGGAAGCUGCGCCAGCCUGCAGGGUGGAAAAAAAUGCAUUGUUCAGUAAACCCAAGUGUGAUCGUCAGAAGCCCAACCAUCAUUCAGGGCUACAGCAUACCAGAAACACAGACAGAAUCGAAAGCUCCACUUCUGACAUGGAAUUUCACCUGAUUGAUGGCACCCUGAUGGCUAACUUGAUGCUUUUCCGAG